rnacentral:lncRNA from 1 species
AGAAAAUGUGUUACGUAUACACCAUAGAAUACUAUUCAGCCAUAAAAAGAACAAAAUAAUGUCUUUUCCACAACUUGGAUGGAGCUGGAGGCCUUUAUUCUUAAGUAACUCAAGAAUGGAAAACCAAAUAUUGUAUGUACUCACUUAUAAGUGGGAGCUAUGAGGACGCAACGGCAUAAAAGCUAUGAGGACAUAAAGGCAUAAAAAUGAUAAAAUGCAAUUUGAGGACUUGGGAGUGGGGAAGUUGGAAGAGGGAUGAGGGAUAAAAGACUACAUAUUGGGUACAGUGUACACUGCUCGGGUGAUGGGUGCACUAAAAUCUCAGCAAUCUCCACCGGAGAACUUAUCUAUGUAACCAAGAAACACCUGUACCCUGCCACCAAACUAUUGAAAUAAAAAAAAUUUAAGCCCCAAAGUACAAUGUAUUAAAAACCUUUAAUUGCACUUCAUCACAAUUUAACACUUGCUCUGUGAAAAACACUGUUAAGAAACUGAAAGGACAGGUCACAGAGUGAAAAUAUUUGCAAAUCACAUACAUAAAAACUCAAAACUCAACAAUAAGAAACACAAAUCCAGUUUUUUUUUAAAAUUUAUUUAUUUAUUAUUAUUAUACUUUAAGUUGUAGGGUACAUGUGCAUAACGUGCAGGUUUGUUACAUAUGUAUACUUGUGCCAUGUUGGUCUGCUGCACCCAUCAACUCGUCAUUUACAUCAGGUAUACUUGUGCCAUGUUGGUGUGCUGCACCCAUCAACUCGUCAUUUACAUCAGGUAUAACUCCCAAUGAAAUCCCUCCCCCUCCCCUCCCCAUGAUAGGCCCCAGUGUGUGAUGUUCCCCUUCCCUGAGUCCAAGGCGCGGGGAUUCAUUGUUCAGUUCCCACCCCAAGUGAGUGAGAACAUGCGGUAAGUUUGGUUUUCUGUUCUUGUGAUAGUUUGCUAAGAAUGAUGGUUUCCAGCUGCAUCCAUGUCCCUACAAAGGACACAAACUCAUAUCCUUUUUAAUGGCUGCAUAGUUUUCCAUGGUGUAUAUGUGCCACAUUUUCUUAAUCCA